GAUGAACGCUCGCGAUAGGCUUAACACAUGCAAGUCGAGGGGCAGCACAAGGUAGCUUGCUAUCUGGGUGGCGACCGGCGCACGGGUGCGUAACGCGUAUGCAACUUGCCCUAUACAGGAGGAUAACCCGUCGAAAGACGGACUAAUACUGCGUAUGCUCACAACUUGGCAUCAAGUGGUGAGGAAAGAAAUUCGGUAUAGGAUAGGCAUGCGUCCCAUUAGCUUGUUGGUGAGGUAACGGCUCACCAAGGCAACGAUGGGUAGGGGAACUGAGAGGUUUAUCCCCCACACUGGUACUGAGACACGGACCAGACUCCUACGGGAGGCAGCAGUGAGGAAUAUUGGUCAAUGGGCGCGAGCCUGAACCAGCCAAGUCGCGUGAAGGAGGACUGUCUUAUGGAUUGUAAACUUCUUUUAUACGGGAAUAACAAGAGUCACGGGUGACUCCCUGCAUGUACCGUAUGAAUAAGCAUCGGCUAACUCCGUG
rnacentral:rRNA from 1 species